UGCGUCCCCUCUACCGCCGCGAGCUCGGAAUGUCUGGCCCCCCGUGCUUCAGGGUCCGAGAGCCUGCAGAAGUUCACACUUAAAUCCUAAACGAAGGUCAUGUUUAUGAUGCAGAACUCGGUGCAGAACCCGAUGGAGGACUGUGGCUCACUCCCAUGACACCAACCUCAGUCAGCAGUUCAGCUCUCACCUGUCUCUGGGGCAGCACCGUGCCCUGCUGUGGUAGAAGAAACCUUGGGAGCUAGCAUGGUCCUCUUGCUGCCAUUGACAGAGAUGAGGAAACAGAGAUGUAGAGAAGUUAAGGAUUUGCCCAAGAUUACAUAUGUACUAAGACAUGAAGCUCAAGAGGUCAACCUUCAGAACCCAUUCUUAACUCUGUCGCCCAGGCAGGAGUGCAGUGUGCGACACACAGCCCCUGGGAGGAGCCUGAGCUGCCUGCAGGAAAUCACCCCUUCCUUGGGGGCGGGAGGGGAAUGAAUGACUCAGGGCCAACUGGUGGGAGUUCUGUUUUUGUGGUCAGGAUGGGCUGUAGGGAGGUUCCUGGGAUGAAGUACUCACUGGGUUCGCCUUUCCCAGCUGCCUCCUAAUGAGGCUUUUCCUCUGACCUUUUCCAUUCUAUACCUGAAAACAAGUUUGUGCUACUGGUCUGGUCUUUUGCUCCAAGCCCCACCCAACCCAGGCCAUCUCCUGUGAGAAUAUGGCUGUUGAGUGAAGCAGUGAGAACUGAGGCUAUAACAGGUGCGGGCAGGCGAGGCUGAGCAUUUAGGACUGUGCUCUGGACCUGCAGUUUGCUGACUUGCGUGUAUUGGGGUUCUGGGUCUUCAGUGCUACAGUGGGAAUGGGGAGACCUUCUGUUGGGGGAGGAUAUCUUUGGGGCCCACAACCUGGAACGUGGUGUGUGAUUGAUAUAUUUGUGGUGAAUUUGGAAGUGUACUAUACCCAAAUCUGGCCCUUUCACUGUGCCAGAGAAGCAGCAUAGUACUGUGGCUAAGAGAGGGAGCAAGAAUAUCCAGGUUUAAAUAUCAGCUCUUGGCCAGGUGCAGUGGCCCACGCCUGUAAUCCCAGCACUUUGAGAGGCUUGAGGCAGGAGGAUCACUUGAGCCCAGGAGUUUGAGACCAGCC